rnacentral:tRNA from 1 species
GCGGGAGUAACUCAGCGGUAGAGUGCCUGCCUUCCAAGCAGGUUGUCGCGGGUUCGAGUCCCGUCUCCCGCU